rnacentral:rRNA from 1 species
GAUGAACGCUAGCGGCAGGCCUAAUACAUGCAAGUCGAGGGGCAGCAUGACUGUAGCAAUACAGUUGAUGGCGACCGGCAAACGGGUGCGGAACACGUACAGAACCUUCCUUCGAGCGGGGAAUAGCCCAGAGAAAUUUGGAUUAAUACCCCAUAGUACAACGGAGUGGCAUCACUUUGUUGUUAAAGAUUUAUCACUUGAAGAUGGCUGUGCGGCUGAUUAGGUAGUUGGCGGGGUAACGGCCCACCAAGCCUGCGAUCAGUAACUGGUGUGAGAGCACGACCAGUAACACGGGCACUGAGGCACGGGCCCGACUCCUACGGGAGGCAGCAGUAAGGAACAUUGGUCAAUGGACGAAAGUCUGAACCAGCCAUGCCGCGUGGAGGAUGAAGGUCCUCUGGAUUGUAAACUUCUUUUAUAUGGGACGAAAAAAGGGUUUUCUAACUCGUCUGACGGUACCAUAUGAAUAAGCACCGGCUAACUCCGUGCCAGCCGCCGCCGUAAAAC